rnacentral:rRNA from 1 species
AAUCAACGCUGGCGGCGUGCCUAACACAUGCAAGUCGAACGAGAAAGUGGAGCAAUCCAUGAGUAAAGUGGCGCACGGGUGAGUAACACGUGACUAACCUACCCUUGAGUGGGGGAUAACCUAGGGAAACCUGGGCUAAUACCGCAUAAUACCUACGGGUCAAAGGAGCAAUUCGCUUUAGGAGGGGGUCGCGGCAGAUUAGUUAGUUGGCGGGGUAAUGGCCCACCAAGACGAUGACUGUAUCCGGCCUGAGAGGGCGCACGGACACACUGGAACUGAAACACGGUCCAGACUCCUACGGGAGGCAGCAGUGGGGAAUUUUGCGCAAUGGGGGAAACCCUGACGCAGCAACGCCGCGUGGAGGAUGAAGACCCUUGGGUCGUAAACUCCUUUCGAUCGGGACGAUAAUGACGGUACCGGAAGGAGAAGCCCCGGCUAACUUCGUGCCAGCAGCCGCGGUAAU